AAAAAGAGUAAUUUUUCUUUAAUAAUGCACUAAAUCAUCUCUCAUAAUGAAUUAAAUCAUUCUCUCAUUACAGUGGCAGAGCAAGAUCCAAAACCAGCUCUGGCACGAGCAGCAACUCAGUGCCACCAAAAUGGUGACCAUUGCUACAGCUUCCCACCACCAAAGAUCUGUAAGCUUUCACCAGAAAACUGCCCACUGGACACAGUUGCCCGUCGUACAAUGUCAUCGUAACAAGAGCAAAGGGUCCUUCUGACUUCCCAAGCCGUUCUGCAGCCCUCGGCCACCACCAGCUAUGGGAAGGUGCUGCUCUGCCAUGUGCCAGCCAGCACCGAAACAACUGCUCCGCUCUCAUCAGCUUUCUUAUGGACCAACUCAGCAUCACAUCUGCACAUUCACAGAGAUCAUUUCAUAGAAUCAUAGAAUCAUAGGAUUGUCUUGAGACAGAAGGGACCCUCAAAGGUCAUUUGGUCCAGCUCCCCAGUCUCCCCCUCUCCACUGACUCAUGAGCUUCCACACUUUGAGUAGCAAAAGCAAGUGAGUUGUUCACACUGACAGGGAAGGAGAACAACAUGUUCCCAGGUACUUCUCAUUCUAGGGAAGUGAUCCUGCCUCACAUCCAUCGCCCAGAAACACUUUGCUCUCAUGAUGUUCGUAAUGCUUGUUUCUAGAGUGCUUAAAGGCUUUAGGAAAGCACUGCUACCUGGGACAUACCCACACAAGAGUUAGCCAAAAGUUAAAAGCCAAAUAUGGCAGCAAGAGUAGAACUUUUGCACGAAAGCUUUGGUUUAUUAUUUGCAGAACAUCAGUGCAUAGAUGGAAAGGAACUGAAAAAUCGUUUGCAUUUUAUUAGCUGAACAGUUCUACUUUCCAAAACAAAUUGAGGUAUUCUCUCUUAAAUGCCAAGACCACUGAAGAAGAAGUUACUCUGUUUUCAAGCUACAGUGUAUUUCUAAAUGACACCAGGUGUUCCUCAGCCUCUUCAUUUUUCACUGUACUCUAGAAUUUUGUUUUCAGAAUGAAGAG
rnacentral:lncRNA from 1 species